UAUAUAUAAAANUCAUUUUAAAAUGAGUUUUUCUUAAUAUGGUUUUUAGAACAAAAAUUUUAUGGAAUAUUUGAAAUGCUUUCUAAAUUGAAUCUUCGGGAAUGAGCUUUCCAUAAUAUGCAGAACCAACUUCAUAGACAUAUAUGAGAUACUUUCNUGAGUAGGAUUUCCAAAUAAGUUUUACUUUUUUUCUCCUAAAUGAGUUUUUCAAGACAAAUUUUCCUCUAAAUUCACCGUUUUACUUUUUUUUUUCUUCCUUUCAAAGGUUGCAGCCACGACAAAGAACAGUAAUUGGAGGUGCAACUAUAAUGAGACGUGGGGCAACGAAUGAGNGUAUUUUAGUCUUUUUGUUUGUGAUAUACGAGUGCAGUUAGUAAAAGAAAAACAUUAUUUUAGACUGAGAGUUGUUUUUUUAAUUUCAAAAAUAUCGUAUGUUAUUUAACUUUUACCAGAAUCUAGCACUCAAUAUUGCUGAAAAAAGGCUUAUAUUAUAUUAAUAUUAAAAUACGAAACUCCUUCUUUCUUAUAUAUAUAUAUACUAUAAUAAUAUAUUAUGUUAACUUAAGUACAUUUUUGUCUGCACCAAACCCAUUAAAGCCUUUCCAAUAUUAAAUUUCCUAAAAGCUAACUCUAUGACACUUCCACUUAAACACUAAAAUUCCUCCUCUUCUUUUUAACUCCAGAAACAUAAACUUUUUUUUGUUUUCUUUUCCCUAAAUCACAAAUUCAUGUAAACCUCUCUUGCAUUAUUUUCGUAAACUAAAAAAAAAGUUACCUUAUUCCUUUCUUCGUAACUCAUCAUCUCAUUCAACCCAUAAAACCCAUUUUCACGCCCACGCCAAUACCCACCUUUACCCCAUUCUCUAUCUCUCUUCUCAUCCAUNGCUGACACUCCUCCUGCAUUCACACACCCAUUCUCUUCUUUCUUUAUCACUUAUCCUCCAACCCCACUCCUCAAACACAUCAUACCAUGAUGCACUAUCCUUACCUUCGUGUUCUUCAACCACAACCCUUUAAAGAGUAACCGCGAUAUCUCAAUUUAAAAUUAAUAAAAUCUGAUUUUAUUUUCCUCGGUUUUCCAUCUAAUAAUCAUUCUGAAAACCUAAAAGCAUCAAUUCAACAAUAUCACAUUCAAUAUCAGUCAGCAACUCAAUUCAAAACAGAUAAAAUUCAUCACUGUGCCAAUUCACAGAUUUAUACUCUUCAUCAGUUUCAUAAUCUCAGUUUGGGAAUAAAAUUAAAAAUUGCAGAACAAUUUCACAAACACAUCAAUUCAACAUUCAACAUGUAGUUGUUUUAUAAAAUAAAUUCCUAAAAAAAUAAUCAGACAGCUCUUAGAUCUAGAAUAUAAUAUAAAUCAGAAAAAGAAGGCUCUAACUGCCUAAAAUCCUUAAAAUCUCAAAUCCUAAGUUUCAAAAAUAGUGGAGAUAACAGAAAAAUAACUUAUAGGGAGAAAAUGGAGAAGAUGAUCGAUAGAAAUAGAGCUCUCUACGCCGCGAAUACUUGAGUAGCACCUAACUCAGAAUCCUAAUGUUCAGUGAUCUGAAAAUGUAGAGAGAAAAUAAAACAACUUUAAGAAGGUGGGUUUCUAGAGACAGAGAUUUUUAGUAAAAAGAAAAUGAAUCUGAUUUAUGAGAAAUACCUCCUAAGACUAUGUUGUUUUUAAGUUAUGAGCCUAGUUGUCUAGACAUAAGGUCCAUUAGUCUUAUAUUCUUUUUAAGGCCUCACAACAUGAGUGUCAUUUAAUCUAACCAUUUGUGUUCCUAGAACCUGAUCUUUGUUCCUGAUCUAAUUUUCCAUUUUUCGUUCUUCCCAAACUAACUUUCUUNN
rnacentral:lncRNA from 1 species